rnacentral:rRNA from 1 species
ACUCCUACGGGGAGGCAGCAGUGGGGAAUAUUGCACAAUGGGGGAAACCCUGAUGCAGCCAUGCCGCGUGUGUGAAGAAGGCCUUCGGUUGUAAAGCACUUUCAGUAGGGAGGAAGGUAGUGUAGUUAACACCUGCAUUAUUUGACGUUACCUACAGAAGAAGCACCGGCUAACUCCGUGCCAGCAGCCGCGGUAAUACGGAGGGGUGCGAGCGUUAAUCGGAAUUACUGGGCGUAAAGCGCAUGCAGGCGGCCUGUUAAGUCAGAUGUGAAAGCCCGGGGGCUUAACCUCGGAAUUGCAUUUGAAACUGGCAGGCUAGAGUCUGUAGAGGGGGUAGAAUUUCAGGUGUAGCGGUGAAAUGCGUAGAGAUCUGAAGGAAUACCAGU